rnacentral:rRNA from 1 species
CCUACGGGGGGCAGCAGUGAGGAAUAUUGGUCAAUGGACGAGAGUCUGAACCAGCCAAGUCGCGUGAAGGAUGACUGCCCUAUGGGUUGUAAACUUCUUUUAUAAAGGAAUAAAACGAGGCACGUGUGCCUUUUUGCAUGUACUUUAUGAAUAAGGAUCGGCUAACUCCGUGCCAGCAGCCGAGGUAAUACGGAGGGUCCGAGCGUUAUCCGGAUUUAUUGGGUUGAAAGGGUGCGUUAAUGGGUUGUUAAGUCAGUUGUGAAAGUUUGCGGCGUAACCGUAAAAUUGCAAUUGAUACUGGAAGUCUUGAGGAAAGUUGAGGUAAGCGGAAUUCGUGGUGUAGCGGUGAAAUGCGUAGAUAUCAGGAGGAAUCCCAGUGGCGAAGGCAGCUUACUAAGCUGUGACUGACGCUGAGGCUCGAAAGUGUGGGUAUCAAACAGGAUUAGAUACCCUGGUAGUC